rnacentral:rRNA from 1 species
AUAACACAUGCAAGUCGAGCCGGCAGCGGGAAGUAGCUUGCUACUUUGCCGGCGAGCGGCGGACGGGUGAGUAAUGUCUGGGAAACUGCCUGAUGGAGGGGGAUAACUACUGGAAACGGUAGCUAAUACCGCAUGACCUCGCAAGAGCAAAGUGGGGGACCUUCGGGCCUCACGCCAUCGGAUGUGCCCAGAUGGGAUUAGCUAGUAGGUGAGGUAAUGGCUCACCUAGGCGACGAUCCCUAGCUGGUCUGAGAGGAUGACCAGCCACACUGGAACUGAGACACGGUCCAGACUCCUACGGGAGGCAGCAGUGGGGAAUAUUGCACAAUGGGCGCAAGCCUGAUGCAGCCAUGCCGCGUGUGUGAAGAAGGCCUUAGGGUUGUAAAGCACUUUCAGCGAGGAGGAAGGGUUCAGUGUUAAUAGCACUGUACAUUGACGUUACUCGCAGAAGAAGCACCGG